AAAACAUGGCUCCUUGUUGACAACAGAUAAGGAGUCGGACCUGCCCAGUGAAAUUUUUUAACGGCCGCGGUACUCUGACCGUGCAAAGGUAGCAUAAUCAUUUGCCUUAUAAUUCAAGGCUAGUAUGAAUGGUUUGACAAGAGUGUAGCUGUCUCUUUAUAAUUAAACAGAAUUUUAUUUACAGGUGAAGAAGCCUGUCUCAAAUUAAUAGACAAGAAGACCCUAUCGAGCUUUAAAGAAACCAAUAGAUUAAAUAGUUAACGGUACCAGAAACUUAGCUAUUGGAAACUUUAGCUGGGGCGCCUGCGGAACAAAAAAAGCUUCCUUUAAAAUUAAAGCGAAACAAAUAUUGAUCCAAAGCAUUUUGAUUAAAGGAAUUAGCUACCGUAGGGAUAACAGCAUUAUCUUUUUUAAGAGCUCUUAUCGAAAAAAAGGUUUGUGACCUCGAUGUUGGAUCAGAAUACCUAAAGAUGCAGCAGUCUUUAAGGUUGGUCUGUUCGCCCAUUAAAAUUCUACGUGAUCUGUU
rnacentral:rRNA from 1 species